rnacentral:lncRNA from 1 species
GGUUCAAGAUGGUAACAAAAGAGGAUCAGGACUUCAUCUCCUCACACGAACACUCCAAUCUACACACAGAACAACUUCUGAAAAAAGCAAAUCGGAAAAACAAACAAACAAAAAACUUGACUGGAUGGCUGGGGCAUAAUCUUACUGUAAACCCCACCCUAGUGUGGUAACCCACAGUCAGGAGGAUACUCAACCAGAGUUCCUCCCUGAGGAGUGAAAGGUCUGAACCUCACACUAGGCAUUCCCAACUUUUAAGCCCUGAGGGACAAGCCCCCCAGACAUUUAGCUUUGAAAACCAACAGGGCUAUAAUGAGAAAUGCCUCCCAAGGGUUCAUGUGCUCAGACUCACCUGUCCCAGGGCCCUGAAGUGGCUGGUGGAAGGCACCCCAGACUUUGUGGGGAGGGGCCUACUUGCUUGUCUUGGACUGUUGGCUGGAAGGGCAGACAUCUGAAUUAACACACAUUUGGGAGCCUGCUGGGAUGCUCCCUAGGGGUGGAGACUGACAGGACCCAUAUUUUAGCUCUUCCUUCAGCCAGUAGGCACCAUCUUUUUCUUUUUUAAACUCUAGGCUCUUCCUUUCUUUCUCUCUUUCUCCUUUUAUUCUUUCUUUCUCUCUCCUUCCUUCCCUUCUUGCCUCCUUUUCUUUCUUUUCCAGUAAGUACCAUCUCUAUGCUCUCCCUCUGCCUCACUCCAGAGCACCAGUAUCUGUUGGAGAGGUGCUCUUAUACGUGUCUGGUGUCCCAGUUUUUACUUCUGGUGCCCAGUGUGCCACCAGGGGAUGACCCUUGAUUACCUGGCUCUGGUGGCCAGGGAGAUUUGCAUUUCUGGGUCCCAUGGACCAAAACAAUUGGAGAGAUAAUUCUUGGCAGGCUGCCACCCCCAAGCACGCUGCACAGAGAGCCGACUGAAACACACCCUAGUCUUUCUGUGAAAGAGGCCUAUGUGCUUGUCCUGGAGUUUCAGCCUGAGGAUCAGGCUUUAGGCUGACACACAUCCAGGGAUCUACAGACCUGCUUUCAGGGAAGCAGGUGAAGCACGUUAUCUUUACACUCUCCCUGUGCCUCAUUCGAGUGCACCAGCAUCUCCCAGGUAGGGACUUAUAUACUCUUCUGUAGCCACAAUUUUUGUGACUGCUGCCCAUGGGAUAGCUCUAGAUCACCUGGCACUGGUAGCUAAGAGAGCUUACACUUGUGGUCCUGUAGCUCUGUAUAUAUUUACAUACUUGAAAAGCUGCUACUUGAACAUCUGACUUCAGUCGGCUUAAAUCUAGGUGCUGACUGAGAUUCUCCACUUUGGGACACUAACAGGUUUUGGCACACCCUCAAGUACUGAAAGCCAUUAAAAAUAAAAGAGGCUGGAGUUCCCAUCAUGGCACAGCGGAAACGACUAGGAACCAUGAGGUUUGGGUUCGAUCCCUGGCCUCGCUCAGUGGGUUAAGGCUCUGGCAUUGCUGUGAGCUGUGGUGCUGAGCAGACACGGCUCAGAUCUGGCAUUGCUGUGGCUGUGGCGUAGGCCGGGAGCAACAGCUUGGAUUAGACCCCCAGCCUGGGAACUUCCAUAUGCUGCGCGUGCAGCCCUAGAAAGACGAAAGACAAAAAAAAAAAAAAAAAAAAGAGAGAGAGAGAGACGUUGCCUGGACAAUCACAAGAGUUUGAGGGCCAAGAGGCCAAGAGCUAGGGCAGAGUUCAAUGAUAAGUUUCACCUCCUAUGUGAGACUACUCCUUCAAGCCUGAGAGAGGAGUCUGUUUUAUCUAAUGCAUAGAAACCACCGCAAAAUGAAGAAUAUGUUCCAAGUGAAAGAGCAAUAUAAAACAUCAGAAAAAAACCUUAAUUAAAACUGCCAAAAGGAUUCUAGUUAACUUAGUAAGCACCCAUAUCAUUUUCACAUAGAAACACAGGAUGGUAAUGGUUUAAGGUAGUGCUGGGAAGGUUCCCUUGCCCCCAUCCCAAAUGACAUCCCCCAUGGGCACCAUGCCUACAAUUCUACCAUUAGAAAUGUGUUCUUUUGACUUUUUAUUUUACAUGUUUGGGAUUUUUUACAGGAGGAAAUGGCUCUAGAGUUAUACCGAUAAUAAACAACUUUAGUUGUGACUUGACAUUUAGACUGAAGGGAAACAAAAUUCUAGUAAAUUUUCAUGAGGCAAAGACAGAGGAGAGAAAGCUGAGUGAGCCAGGAAGUUGUACACAACAAAAGGAAAGAUGAACUUAGAUGUUGUCAAUUUAACCAUCUCUUUUUCUUUCUUUCCAUUUUUUUUUUUUGUCUUUUUAGGGCCGCACCCAUUGUAUAUGGAGAUUCCCAGGCUAGGGGUCAUAUCGGAGCUGUAGCUGCUGGCCUACACCACAGGCGCAGCAAUGCCAGAUCCAAGCCAGGUCUGUAACCUACACCACAGCUCACAGCAAUGCCAAAUCCUUAACCCACUGAGCGAGGCCAGGGAUCAAACCUGCGUCUCAUGGAUGCUAGUCAGAUUCAUUUCCGCUGAGCCACAACGGGAACUCCCCAUCUCUUUUUUUCAAUCUUUCUUCAUAUACUACUUUUUCCCCUCCUUUCUAUUAUCUCUGUCUCUUCUGUUAUCAAUAUCUGUAGGCAAUUAGAACAUAUACGAGGAUUCAAUGUACACAAAAGCAGCAGUUUCUACCCUUGAUUCUCAUUAAACAUUAGAAUCAAUGGGGGAUAUUUUAAAAAGAUUCCUUACUAUGACCCUCUUCUUUUCCCAUUCAUAUCAUCUCCUUGAGAGUAAGAAUCAGUACCAAGCAUUUUCCAGCAUCUAACAUAGUUCUUGGCAUCUAUUCAGCACAUAUCUGAGGAAUGAACUAAUGAGGCAAAUGCAGUUCCUUAAAGGAGAGUGGGUGAAUCAGGAGGGUGUGGGUUAUGCUGCAGUAACAAAGAGCUCAGAAAACCACAGUGGCUUAGAACAACAAAGGUUUUUGUUUCUCACUCACACUACCUGUCCUCUGUGAAUUUUGCUGUGUCAUCCUCACUCCUGUCUCCAAGUUGGUCAUUAUCUGAAAGAUGCAUAAAGAAAAGAUGUAUGGCAAAUCUUGUACUUGCUUUUAAAGCUUCAGCUUGGAAGAGAUACGUUACAGCUACUCAAAUUUCAUUGGCUAAAGCAAAAAGCAUGGCCAUAUCUAUUUUUAAGGGAGGAAGAUAGUGAAGUUGCAGUACAUUCUUGAGAGAAUAGUGGAAAGAUUUAAUGGCUAGCACUAAUGACUAUCAUGAUGGACAACAGGAGGAAAAAAAGGGGAACAUACAUAUGUUACAUACCUACUAUGAAGUAGAAAUUUUCAUAUACCUCCUUUCAAUCUCUUAAGUCUGAUAGCUCUUAUUAUUCCCAUUUUAGAGAUGAAUAAACUGAGGCUCAGUGAGGUUAAGUAGCUUGCCUAAUAUUAAGCAGCUCUCAUUUGUACCCAAUACUGGCUCCAAAACCCAAGUUCUCUCCACUAAUCAUAACUGUAUAUGACAAGAGAUUUUUGGUCCCUGCCUACCUAAGAGUUAGCUGCACUUUUCCUGUUGGGAUUACAUGCUUAGGUGAUUCCUAUGGAUUUUUUCUACCACCAGCUGGCCUACAGUCUAGGAAAACUAUUUCCUAAAAAGAUCUGCUUUGCUUAUUUAAAAAUCACUGGUGUAAAUAUCCAAAUAAAAUCCCAGUGUUCUCCUCAGGUCCCCAACCCUGAGCUGACUUUGUUUUCUUUUGCAUUUGGUUUAUUUUUUGUCCAGUGGCUCCCUAUUUCCAGUUCAGUGAGAACCAUAAACGCAGAAAAAAAAUAUCUAUGGGGCUGAGGGAUGUAAGCACAGGCUUCUUUGCUUUGGACAGUGGUUUCUGCAAUAGCACUUAAAGCAACACUCCCAAAUCAUUGCUCUUUCUUCUUUUUUCUUUCUUUUUUAAAAACUCUAUUAAGGAGAUGAGAAAUGAUGUAUGCUUGUUAUUUUUACAUUAGGGACAGGAAUUUUUUCCAGGCUUAAAUGCUCAGGAAGCACAAAAAUAAAGUUUUUCUUUGCAAUACCAGCUUAGCUCAGGGCUCCUGGGCACUGAGGUAGAUGCAGUGCUGAAGCAGGGCUCAGAGGAGGGCGGGAGAAUAGGUCAUCGAUGUCAUCAAGGGACCUGCAGUCUGAAACUCUGGCUGUCUUCCUGAUUCUAGCAGUGACUUCCCAAGUGACCUCAAGGGUGCCCCUCUGUCUCUUAGAGCCACAUCAGCAAGGAAAUGAGGGUAAAUAAUACUGGUAAGAGGGGAUAUGCUGGGGAAGAGGCAUAGAUUCAGGGUAACCCAUUCAGAGGGCAACAAGAAGCACUUCUUUCUAACAGCUCAAAAAAUUUUGUGCUCCUGAUGCUUUCUUCCUUAAAUUCCAUUCCCUCUUUACCUAUCCCUGGCUCAGAAUCUCAAUAUAACAUAAAGUUAAAAUAUUGGAAUAGAAGAGAAAUAUGCCUUGAGCUGGUAGGAAUAUGCUACUGUAUCCUUGAUUUUCAAUACUGAAAUAAAAUACUUAUCCUAUUCACCUCAUACAAGUAAAACGAAUGAGUCACUAGUCAUUUUCCCAGGUCAGGGGUCUCAAGCUAUUCAGUUUAGCAACACCAGUCAUCCUCCAAAUAAUGUCUGCAUGUGUGUGAUGGGAAGGGGUCCUGAUACCAUGGGAGCAGGCCUCUCCUGGCCCAACACUGGAAUUCAGUCCACAAGUCCACAUGGUACUCACAUUUGCCAUCUCCCCAAACUAGCCUUUAUGGUAACAAUAGCGAUCGCUUCUUUUCCACCUGCCACUCCUUUUUCGCUUAUUUCUCUUUGUUCAGAAUCAAGACGGAACACAAAAGAUGUGUAUAUAGAGUCCCUCAAAUACUCUAUUAUUACAAGGCUUCUAUUGAAAAACUACAUUUUUUUCUCCCCACAAUUCCUGCCUCCUGGAAGUAACUAUUUAUUAUCUAUGGAUUUUCCUGAUUUGAAUGUUAGCUAUUAAAUUCCUAUUAUGGAAGGAAAAAUUUUCUUUCUCUCACAAUAUCAGCUCCCCGCCUUGCCUGAAGCCCUCAUCUUCACAUAACCUUUUCCUCAACCUCUCAAUAUAGUUGUGUCACCAUUUUGAAUACAUUAAUACAUCCUUUAUGCAAACAUAAUCACCAGUAGAGCUGCAGAGUAUACCUUUUCGCCUCAAACUCUCUGAUAGAACUGCACAUUUUCCCUCGCCAUUUUCAGAUGAAGGGAGUAUCAGUGGAUCCAGUUAGUUUCAUUAGUUUCAUGUUAUCUCCCCUCAGGAGCCAUCAGUCCUGGAGCCCCUCCCAUUGCCAUGUGGACCAAUAGCCAUCUAGGUCUGCUGCAUGGUUGGCAUCCUGGAAAUUCUUUUGCCUCUUGUUGGUGUUGAAAGCCUUGUUUCAUAAAUCCUCUUACCUUGUUUACUUUCCCACUUACUGGAGUACUGCCUCCAGUACCUUCCUCAGAAGGGGACAUGGGAGAACUUUUAAUGCUUGUGUGUCUAUAAUGUCCUUAUCCUCCUCCCAUACUCUAUUCAAAGUCUGGCUUUGUGUAUUCUUAGGUUAGAAAUAACUUCCCCUUGAAUUUUAAAGGCAUUUCUCGCUUUCCCAUCUUUGAUGUUGUUGCUGUAGAGAAGCCUGAUGCCACUCAGAUUCUCAGUCCUUUUUGAUGGCAUCUUGUUUGCUUUUGAGAAAAUUUUAGAACGAUUCCUUUUCUCACAGUGUUCUAAAACUUCAUGAUAAUGUGCCCUGGAGUAAAUCUUUUCUCAUUCAUAUUUCCUGCUCUAGAAACUGAUAUAUAUCUGGGAAAAUUACUUUUGUGUAUAUUUUUAAAGUAAUUUUUUUGGAGUUACUGCUGUGACACAAGGGCAUGGGUGGUGUCUCUGGAGCUCUGGGAUGCAGGUUCUAUCCCUGGCUUGGCACAGUGUGUUAAAGUUGCAGUGGCGUAGGGGCAACUGUGAUUCCAGUUUGAUCCCUGGCUCAGAAACUUCCAAAUUUGUAAGGCUG